rnacentral:rRNA from 1 species
UACGGGGGGGGCAAGCGUUGUUCGGAAUUACUGGGCGUAAAGGGCUCGUAGGUGGCCAACUAAGUCAGACGUGAAAUCCCUCGGCUUAACCGGGGAACUGCGUCUGAUACUGGAUGGCUUGAGUUCGGGAGAGGGAUGCGGAAUUCCAGGUGUAGCGGUGAAAUGCGCAGAUAUCAGGAGGAACACCGGUGGCGAAGGCGGGUCUCUGGGCCGAUACUGACGCUGAGGCACGAAGGUCAGGGGAGCAAACGGG